CAAAAGUUUGGUCCCAGCUUUAAACUCAACUACUACUCAACUUACACAUGCAAGUAUCCGCCCACCCGUGAAAACACCCUUACCCCUCACACAGGAAAAGGAGCCGGUAUCAGGCACAAUAAUAACGCCCAUGACACCUAGCCACGCCACACCCCCAAGGGCACUCAGCAGUGAUAAACAUUGCUCAUUAGCGCCAGCUUGACUCAGUCAGAGUAAAUAGGGCCGGCCAAUUCGGUGCCAGCCGCCGCGGCUAUCCCGCUUGGCUCAAGUUGACCUUAUCGGCGUUGAGCGUGGUUAAAGUACCCCCCCCCACCCUAGAGUUAAACCACAACCAAGUUGUAAUACACUUGUUUAUAAGAAACCCCUAAACGAAAGCUACUCUACCCCCACCUUGAACCCACGACAGCUGGAAUACAAACUGGGAUCAGAUACCCCACUAUGCCCAACCGUAAAAUAUCUACUCACACUAACAACCGCCCGGGAAUUACAAGACCCUUAAAACCCAAAGGACUUGACGGUGUCCCACCCACCUAGAGGAGCCUGUUCUAUCAUCGACACCCCACGAUCUACCUCACCACUCCUAGCACACUCAGUCUGUAUACCUCCGUCGUAAGCCUACCAUGUGAACGUCACAGUGGGCCAAAAGAUUCUCCACCCACACGUCAGGUCAAGGUGCAACUAACGGAACGGAAAGCAAUGGGCUACAAUUUCUAUCAUAGAACACACGAAAAACCAAAUGAAAUGCAGUCACGAAGGCGGAUUUAGAAGUAAAAAGAAAUCAGAAAACUCUUUUUAAUUAGGCCCUGGGACGCGUACACACCGCCCGUCACCCUCCUCAACAUACAUAGAGAGGAGGCAAGUCGUAACAUGGUAAGUGUACUGGAAAGUGCACUUGGACAAUCAAA
rnacentral:ncRNA from 1 species